rnacentral:rRNA from 1 species
CUGAAUGGGCUAGGGCAUACACCAAUGUACCAAACCCUAUCAAACUCCGAAUACCUUAUAUGUAAUCACAGCAGUCAGGCGGCGAGUGAUAAAAUCCGUCGUCAAGAGGGAAACAACCCAGACUACCAGCUAAGGUCCCUAAAUCUUACUUAAGUGGAAAACGAUGUGAAGUUACUUAAACAACCAGGAGGUUGGCUUAGAAGCAGCCAUCCUUUAAAGAAAGCGUAAUAGCUCACUGGUCUAGUGAUUUUGCGCGGAAAAUAUAACGGGGCUAAAGUAAGUACCGAAGCUGUAGACUUGCACACAACUUAGAUUAUUUAAGUUUAGAAUAUUAAGAAACUAAGUUAUAUGUUUUAGUUAUAUUUUUACUGAUUUUUAUAGGGUAAAGAUAGAAAUAAAACUUAGUAAAAUCAGUAAAAAUAUUCUUAGGCUAAAGUUAAGUAGUUUAAGUUGUGUGCAAGUGGUAGGAGAGCGUUCUAUUUGCGUCGAAGGUAUACCGGUAAGGAGUGCUGGAGCGAAUAGAAGUGAGCAUGCAGGCAUGAGUAGCGAUAAUUAAUGUGAGAAUCAUUAACGCCGUAAACCCAAGGUUUCCUACGCGAUGCUCGUCAUCGUAGGGUUAGUCGGGUCCUAAGUCGAGUCCGAAAGGGGUAGACGAUGGCAAAUUGGUUAAUAUUCCAAUACCAACAUUAGUGUGCGAUGGAAGGACGCUUAGGGCUAAGGGGGCUAGCGGAUGGAAGUGCUAGUCUAAGGUCGUAGGAGGUUAUACAGGCAAAUCCGUAUAACAAUACUCCGAGAACUGAAAGGCUUUUUGAAGUCUUCGGAUGGAUAGAAGAACCCCUGAUGCCGUCGAGCCAAGAAAAGUUUCUAAGUUUAGCUAAUGUUGCCCGUACCGUAAACCGACACAGGUGGGUGGGAUGAGUAUUCUAAGGCGCGUGGAAGAACUCUCUUUAAGGAACUCUGCAAAAUAGCACCGUAUCUUCGGUAUAAGGUGUGGUUAGCUUUGUAUUAGGAUUUACUCCGAAAGCAAGGAAACUUACAACAAAGAGUCCCUCCCGACUGUUUACCAAAAACACAGCACUCUGCUAACUCGUAAGAGGAUGUAUAGGGUGUGACGCCUGCCCGGUGCUCGAAGGUUAAUUGAUGGGGUUAGCAUUAGCGAAGCUCUUGAUCGAAGCCCGAGUAAACGGCGGCCGUAACUAUAACGGUCCUAAGGUAGCGAAAUUCCUUGUCGGUUAAAUACCGACCUGCAUGAAUGGCGUAACGAGAUGGGAGCUGUCUCAAAGAGGGAUCCAGUGAAAUUGUAGUGGAGGUGAAAAUUCCUCCUACCCGCGGCAAGACGGAAAGACCCCGUGGACCUUUACUACAGCUUGACACUGCUACUUGGAUAAGAAUGUGCAGGAUAGGUGGGAGGCUUUGAGUAUAUGACGCCAGUUGUAUAUGAGCCAUUGUUGAGAUACCACUCUUUCUUAUUUGGGUAGCUAACCAGCUUGAGUUAUCCUCAAGUGGGACAAUGUCUGGUGGGUAGUUUGACUGGGGCGGUCGCCUCCCAAAUAAUAACGGAGGCUUACAAAGGUUGGCUCAGAACGGUUGGAAAUCGUUCGUAGAGUAUAAAGGUAUAAGCCAGCUUAACUGCAAGACAUACAAGUCAAGCAGAGACGAAAGUCGGUCUUAGUGAUCCGGUGGUUCUGUGUGGAAGGGCCAUCGCUCAAAGGAUAAAAGGUACCCCGGGGAUAACAGGCUGAUCUCCCCCAAGAGCUCACAUCGACGGGGAGGUUUGGCACCUCGAUGUCGGCUCAUCGCAUCCUGGGGCUGGAGCAGGUCCCAAGGGUAUGGCUGUUCGCCAUUUAAAGCGGUACGCGAGCUGGGUUCAGAACGUCGUGAGACAGUUCGGUCCCUAUCUGCCGUGGGCGUAAGAAGAUUGAAGAGAUUUGACCCUAGUACGAGAGGACCGGGUUGAACAAACCACUGGUGUAGCUGUUGUUCUGCCAAGAGCAUCGCAGCGUAGCUAAGUUUGGAAAGGAUAAACGCUGAAAGCAUCUAAGCGUGAAGCCAACUCUAAGAUGAAUCUUCUCUAAGCUCUCUAGAAGACUACUAGUUUGAUAGGCUGGGUGUGUAAUGGAUGAAAGUCCUUUAGCUGACCAGUACUAAUAGAGCGUUUGGCUUAUCUUU